rfam:Triticum urartu cultivar G1812 contig980892, whole genome shotgun sequence.
CAGGUACUCCCUCCGUCCGGAAAUAUUUGUCGGAGAAAUGGAUAAAAAUGGAUGUAUCUAGAACUAAAAUAUGUCUAGAUACAUCCAUUUCUCCGAGAAGUAUUUUCGAACGGAGGGAGUAUGAA